rnacentral:rRNA from 1 species
CCUACGGGAGGCAGCAGUGGGGGAUAUUGCACAAUGGGGGAAAGACUGAUGCAGCGAAGCCGCGGGAGGGAAGAAGGAUUUCGGUAUGUAAAGCUCUAUCAGCAGGGAAGAAAAUGACAGUACGUGCCCAAGAAGCCCCGGAUAACUACGUGCCAGAAGCCGCGGUAAUACGUAGGGGGCAGGCGUUAUCCGGAUUUACUGGGUGUAAAGGGAGCGUAGACGGUUAUGUAAGUCUGGAGUGAAAGCCCGGGGCCCAACCCCCGGACUGCUUUGGAAACUGGGUAACUGGAGUACAGGAGGGGCAGGCGGAAUUCCUGGUGUAGCGGUGAAAUGCGUAGAUAUCAGGAGGAACACCGGCGGCGAAGGCAGCAUGCUGGACUCAAACUGACGCUGAGGCUCGAAAGCGUGGGUAGCAAACAGGAUUAGAUACCCCUGUAGUC